rnacentral:rRNA from 1 species
UACGGGGGGAGCAAGCGUUGUUCGGAUUUACUGGGCGUAAAGGGCGCGUAGGCGGCCACCGCAAGUCGAUUGUGAAAUCUCCGGGCUUAACCCGGAAAGGUCAACCGAUACUGCGGGGCUAGAGUGCAGAAGGGGCAACUGGAAUUCUCGGUGUAGCGGUGAAAUGCGUAGAUAUCGAGAGGAAUACCAGUGGCGAAGGCGGCCUUCUGGACGGAUACUGACGCUGAGGCGCGAAAGCGUGGGGAGCAAACAGG